AGAGUGCAUUUUCUAGAGAUACGGAAUUCCCUUCGGGGCUUUCGUACAAGGUGCUGCAUGGUUGUCGUCAGCUCGUGCCGUGAGGUGUCGGGUUAAGUCCCAUAACGAGCGCAACCCUUAUCGUUAGUUGCCAUCUGGUAAAGCAGGGGACUCUAGCGAAACUGCCACCGUAAGGUGAGAGGAAGGUGGGAUGACGUCAAUCAGCACGGCCCUUAUGUCCAGGGCUACACACGUGUUACAAUGGUCGGUACAGAGGGCAGCUACCUGGUGACAGGAUGCUAAUCUCGAAAACCGGCCUCAGUUCGGAUCGAAGUCUGCAACUCGACUUCGUGAAGCUGGAUUCGCUAGUAAUCGCGCAUCAGCCAUGGCGCGGUGAAUACGUUCCCGGGCCUU
rnacentral:rRNA from 1 species